AUAAAAAUUAUAAAAAAAUAUUAUGAUCAAAGAAGAUCAGGGAUGCCUUGGAGAGACUUGAGCGCCUCGAGUGCACCUCCUUAUCUUCUUCUUUGUCAUCUUCAAACGCCGUCGAUGUAUCAAGCCCCAGCGCGAUCUCUGGAAAAGGAAAAGGGAGCAAAUCAGUGAGGAGGCUGAGCCAGUUAGCCUUGCAUAGUCUGGAUAAACACCUUUGUCAAAACCAGAAGCAAAUGCUAGAAGCCCAAGAAAGGAUAGAAUUACUCUGGAAGAGCUGUAUGUCCUCUUACUGAGAUUUGAAACAAGCACUUCUUCAGUUUACUUAAGAUCAACUGAUCUUUCUCCCAUUUUCUUUUUGAGAGGCGUAAUCGUGCUGACAGAUGGAUUAAGUAUGCAGGCAUGGUUUUUACAAUAAUCAUCUUCAUUAUUAUCUGGAGGUGGCAAGACGACUGAUGCACCAUUUGGUACAACCUCAUUAUAACACAGUUUUUCCAUUAAUCUUGUGUUGCAGCGAGCUACCCAGUGUUCAUGAACAAAAAGAAUCUAGUUGAAACUUGAUUUCCUAGAUGUGUUCAUAUUUAUAGAUGGUCAGAAAAUGUUACAAUGAAACAAAAGUGGAAGUAGGAAGAACUGGUAACUGAAGGCAUACAUAGGUCCAAAUUGUGUGAGUUGAGUUGUAAGUAGCAUGAUAUAGGCCGAUUGAUGAGUAGCAUUCUUUCACCUUGACUUGCUGUACUUUCCAUGCAUGGCUGAUCUCAUUGUACAAGUUUUCAUGAAUUCAUUUUCUUCAAGUAUUAUGUUUUGUUGAAAAGUUCCAAAGCACCAUGUAAA